rnacentral:rRNA from 1 species
CGGUAACAGCUCAAAUUUAAAAUCCGGCCUUCACGGGCCCGAGUUGUAAUUUGUAGAGGGUGUUUCGGACAAGGCUGUGGUUUAAGUUUCUUGGAACAGGACGUCAUAGAGGGUGAGAAUCCCGUAUGUGACUGGAUACCUAUGCUCAUGUGAAGCUCUUUCGAC